UUGGAGGGCAAGCUGGUGCCAGCAGCCGCGGUAAUUCCAGCUCCAAUAGCGUAUAUUAAAGUUGUUGUGGUUAAAAAGCUCGUAGUUGAACCUUGGGCCUGGCUGGCCGGUCCGCCUCACCGCGUGUACUGGUCCGGCCGGGCCUUUCCCUCUGUGGAACCCCAUGCCCUUCACUGGGUGUGGCGGGGAAACAGGACUUUUACUGUGAAAAAAUUAGAGUGCUCCAGGCAGGCCUAUGCUCGAAUACAUUAGCAUGGAAUAAUAGGAUAGGA
rnacentral:rRNA from 1 species